UAGCUAGUUGGUGGGGUAAGGGCCUACCAAGGCGACGAUCGGUAGCUGGUCUGAGAGGAUGGCCAGCCACACUGGAACUGAGACACGGUCCAGACUCCUACGGGAGGCAGCAGUGGGGAAUAUUGGACAAUGGGGGCAACCCUGAUCCAGCAAUGCCGCGUGUGUGAAGAAGGCCUGAGGGUUGUAAAGCACUUUCAGUGGGAGGAGGGUAUUUAGGUUAAGAGCUAGGAUACUGGACGUUACCCACAGAAGAAGCACCGGCUAACUCCGUGCCAGCAGCCGCGGUAAUACGGAGGGUGCGAGCGUUAAUCGGAAUUACUGGGCGUAAAGGGUGCGUAGGUGGUUAUUUAAGUUAUGUGUAAAAUCCCUGGGCUUAACCUGGGCAGGUCAUAUAAAACUGAGUAACUCGAGUAUGGGAGAGGGUAGUGGAAUUUCCGGUGUAGCGGUGAAAUGCGUAGAGAUCGGAAGGAACACCAGUGGCGAAGGCGGCUACCUGGCCCAAUACUGACACUGAGGCACGAAAGCGUGGGGAGCAAACAGGAUUAGAUACCCUGGUAGUCCACGCUGUAAACGAUGUCAACUAGCUGUUGGUUAUAUGAAUAUAAUUAGUGGCGC
rnacentral:rRNA from 1 species